rnacentral:lncRNA from 1 species
UCGUCCUUAGAAACAUGGCAUAUUGUGCCGAUUUUGGUCCCUUCCUUUGAAGGUGACUCAUGGCACUACAUCCUCAAGGAGGAUCGCCCACGUGUUUCCGGUUAAGUCUUCUACCCUAUAGCGGAUUUUUCAUCAUCAAUUGUUCAACUAGGCUCAUCCAAGCUCAGUGUGAUGUCUUAGAAUUUUCCGAAAUUAAGGAGAUAGUGGUUUUAAGUGUGUCUCGCACUACCGACCCUCCACGGACAUGUCUGGUCAUACUGACUUGGAGUUACCGAAAACUUUUGAUUUUGGAUCCCCCUACGCUAUUAAACCAAUUGCCGUCUUGCAAAAGACGUUGAAGACUUAUCAAAGCUGGAAAAUUAUCAUCAUAAUCGGAUCCUCUAGGUCCUCUGAGUUAGUUUAUGUUCAUGUUCAUGUUCAUGUCAGGGAGCUUUUGCUAACUAGUCAUGGAGUUUAUGACCUUAGAACGAUCGAAAGGACUUGGUUUUGAUCAUACACACGUCACAUUUGGCUAAGGCAAAAGCCUACACGCCACCUGCAAGCUUCACAGCUUCGCACAUGCCAAAUCUGCGAAAAACAGCAAUCUGUCCCUUCUGGACAGUCAACUUCGUUUGAGCUUUGUGAACAGCUCCGGACGAACCAGACAAUGAGCUUUAUAUCAUUGGAAAGAUCUAUGAGUCUAGUUUUCAGAAAUUUUCACGGUUCAUCCAUAUCUAUUUUAACGAAGAAGUUAUGACUGUUUUAGUUUGCAAAGGUCAUUCUGCUCGGAAAUUUUUAUGCACUCUCGGGAUUGCAGCUUUUCGUAGCUUCUUUCAAUCCUUCUAAAUGGUUCAAGUAGAACUAUUUACUCGCCUAUCUACUCCUUGUAGUUAUGUCUCAUAGAGACAUUGAGUGCUUCGCAGAUAGUGGAACCAUGUUGAGCUUUAAAGACAUUCAUGCUAAUGGUUUUCAUUUGAAAACACAUUGUGAGAAUGAACAAGAAUUCUUUUGUGUAUACCUCCUCAUGAAUGCGAACUGAAACGCAUCUUGGAGAAAUUCAUGAGUCAAUCUAGUGAACUGUAUGUCACUACGAUUCGAAUAUCGAAUCCC